rnacentral:rRNA from 1 species
AAUAUGUGCAAAAAAUAUAAAUCGGGGGUAGUAAGGGAUGUUGAAACAGAUUAGAUACCUGUGUAUUCCUUAUAUAUUAAUUAUAAGGGGAAUAUCUUAAUAAUGUGGCGGUGUUUUUGAAAUGUAGGGGUACUUGGGUUGGAUAUUUAACCUAAAUAACGGUAAUUCUUUAGCUUCUUGUAUGAUUGUCAAAGCUCAAGUGGGUUUAUGGCAAAUAAUAUGGGGGUUGAUUUACAUAAGUCUGAGUUUUUAAUGUAAUUAUAGUAAAGGAUUUACAAGUAGCAGAAGAGUAGUGAAUAUAUCAGAAGUGAGUACA